rnacentral:tRNA from 1 species
UGCGGGGUGGAGCAGUCUGGUAGCUCGUUGGGCUCAUAACCCAAAGGCCGCAGGUUCAAAUCCUGCCCCCGCUACCA